AAUACGUUCCCGGGUCUUGUACUCACCGCCCGUCACAGCAUGAAAGUUGGCAAUACCCAAAAUUCUACUUCGGUAGGCCUAAGGUAGGGCCAGCGAUUGGGCUG
rnacentral:rRNA from 1 species